rnacentral:rRNA from 1 species
UACGAAGGGGGCUAGCGUUGCUCGGAAUCACUGGGCGUAAAGGGUGCGUAGGCGGGUUUUUAAGUCAGGGGUGAAAUCCUGGAGCUCAACUCCAGAACUGCCUUUGAUACUGAAGAUCUUGAGUCCGGGAGAGGUGAGUGGAACUGCGAGUGUAGAGGUGAAAUUCGUAGAUAUUCGGAGGAACACCAGUGGCGAAGGCGGCUCACUGGUCCGGUACUGACGCUGAGGUGCGAAAGCGUGGGGAGCAAACAGG